UCCCGUGUGGCUCAGUUGGUAGAGCGUAGCAUUUGCAAUGCCAGCGUUGUGGGUUUGAUUCCCACAAGGGAU
rnacentral:tRNA from 1 species